UCUUCCGCACCCAGCUGAGCAGGGUGAGCGCAGCAGGGGCCGCCUGCUCCGCUGCUCCCAAGGGACUGUGUCCCCGCCAGCCCCUCUGACCCCGGCUCGCUGAGGCUGGGCCUGGGACACAGGGCUGCCCCUCUCAUCCCCCCAGCCGCAUCGCCCAGAUAUUGGGAAAUGUUGAGUGAAAUAAACCAGACACACAGCUCAAUGUGGUAGCUCUCAUUAGACGGAAUCAAGCGGAAACAAAGGACGCGAUAGAGUAAUAGAAAACUCUUCAAAUUUGGAGAAAGACCUUAACAGACAAGCAGUGCACGCGGAGCUCCCAAAUGGGCACAAUCGGAAAAGAACUCCACAGCGCAUCACAGCCGGAAUCCCAGCUCUCCAAGAACAGCACUCUUCACCUGCUGAGGACACACAGGCCACUCCCAAGGUUGAGCUAGAAAAUGCAACCCUGAGCUGGACCAGCAGCCCCAAAACAGCAGGUAUGCACCUGUCCGCAAGCUGAGCUUUGAUGAACACAGGCAGGAGCCAGUGGUGGUAAAGGCCAUGUGCCACCAUGUCUGCUUGCACCUGGAACUGCAUAGUGUGCUACUGACCUUCUGGAUCUCUGGCAAGACGUAGCUCACCCUGCACCUGGAGCCACCACAGACUGGGGUCCAGCGCCCAGGCCCUGACAGGGCUGCUUAGUCUUUAUGCUUCCCACUGCUACCUGCUAUGGGCACCCUUGGCCAGCAACUGAGAGUCCACUUCGCCUCCACUUGCCUGCAGAUGACGUGAGCAGCGGCCCUGGAAGCAUUCCUGUAGUCUCACGCAUGAGACUGACCAUAAGCUCUGGAGGUUGUUUGCAAGUUCCAGGCCAGCCUGGGCAAUGUAAUGAGACCCUGUCUCAAAAAUCUAAAAAGGCCAAGGAUAUAGCUCAAUGGCAGAGCACUUACCUAGCAUGCACAAGACCCUCUCCCCCUAAACGCUUGCUGAGAAUUUGCUAUACACCCGUCAGUUACUUUACUUGACACCUAUAACUACCCUACCUCUUAGAAAUUGUACGAUUUCCAUUUUACUGUUUCCCAUGAAUGUACUUAAGGUUAUCUACCGCUAUUGUGUUUCUGGGUCAAAAAUACCGUGUAACAAUUCUGGGGCUGGUGACAUCACACCGGUAUCUUGAAAUCAGUGAUGCUAAGAGACGUUACAGGAAGGAAAUCAAAAAGUGCUAUGAUGGAAGCCUGAUUUGCUGUUUGACUUACACAAACAACAACGAAAUGAUAAAGUUAAAUCUGUGGAUGAAACUUAGGGGUGGAUCUUUUGAGUUGCGAUUACAUUGUACAUAGCACAGAAAAGUGGAAGAAGCCUUUGUCAGGGGUUUCCCGUCCAUUAUGGGAUUCGGCAAAGUUGUUGAUGUUACUGACAAUCGGUAAAGGGGGACGUGUGUCCUCCUUGUCUUCUUUCACCUGCUACUCAAACUUGGCAACCGGAAAACGGCUACGACUCAAAAUUUUAGGAUAUAUGAAGGAAAGUACUUUCUAUGAAUACAGUGAUGGUAUGGAAUUUGCAAUGAUGACUGUUUUUUUGUGUGUGCAACCAAGUUGUUGUUUUAAAUGUAAAAUCCCCCCCCCAAAUGUCUCAUGUGGGGGUUUUGGAAGGUGUUUGGAGCAUGGAGGUUCUACAAGUAUUAGUUAAUUUAUCCACUGGUGAGUUCAUGUGCUAUUAGGAGGCAGGGCCUUGGUUGGAGGUGGGUCACUGGGGAUGGGACCUGGAGGGAGCUGUCCUUGUCCCUGGAUCCUCUUCUCUCUCCUUCCUGGUUGUCAUGACAGCAGCUUUGCUCUACCAGGACUUCCCACUGUCGUGUUUCUGCCUUUGAUCCAGCUAACCAUGGACCGAACCCUGUGAAACCAAGAGCCCACAUAAGCAUCUCCUCCUUUAAGUUACAGGUGUUGUGUAUUUUGUGCCAGCAGUGGCACAGGGAGUAAUACGUGGGGAUUGAGACCAGAGCCUUCACCCUGAACUGCCUCUCCAGCCCUGCUUAGUUUAUAUUUGGAGACAAGGCCUUGCUAAAUCACUAUGUUGCUGAGAUUGUCCUUGAACUUAAGAUCCUCCUGAAUCAGCCCCCGGCGUACUGGGAUCACAGGCAUGCAACAGCAUGCCUGGCUUCAUGAAUAAUAUAUUAUUGCAGACAGUCUGUGAAUAAAGUAGUCUGGCUCUGUAAAUAAAUAGUCUGGCUCAAAAUAAAAGGAUAUAAAGAAGUUGGGGUGGAGCUCAGCGGUAGAUCCUGGGUUAAAUCCCUAGUAUGCAAAAAUAAAAGAUAAGAAGAGGGUGUGAGAUCAAGUUCAAAACAGUCAAUAUGUAACGGUGCAGUGUGGAAGGACAGGGCAAGUCGUGAGAAAGAUAAUCACGGAGGAGGAGAAAACCAAGGCUCCAAGGAACGUGUUUCAAGAAGGAAGCUGCGUAAGGAGGAAGACUGUGAACGGACUAGAAGAGCCACCCUGAAACCUCCCAAAGUGUGAAAGUGGGGCAGGGCCUGGGGGGAUGAUCAGAGUAUGCUGUGUGAGCGAAUGCAUCCGCCUUCAGUAACCCGUCGGUCUGUGUAACCAAUAAAAAAGAGUGAGGAAGGAGAAAUGCGGAAAGAAGUCAGAUCACGGCUGGGGAAAUAGCUCCGUGGCAUAAGCACCUGCCUGGCA